rnacentral:lncRNA from 1 species
UGGCAUUGCAUGACCAUGUUAUGCCAACGCUUUCAAAUUAAAUAAUUCUAAUUCGGCCUUGUUUCAUGAGAUCACAAUAUUUUUGCCGCAAAACAAAUGGUAUGUAAAUUAUUUUCUGAAUAAAUUGUGUAUAUAAAAAUGUAUAAGCUAGUCGUUUUACUUUGAAUUGUGGCUACCUAUGGGGGUACAAAUCUACCAUGGCAACUGACUAGCUAAUUUGUCAUGCCACACCCUAAUUUGCGUGCACACUGCACCAAUAUCUAAUUAGAUCUCGCCUAACUCUUAAUGACUGCUUGAAAGUAAAUACAAAAGUCUUCUUUAAGCUCUCCAUUGGUAUAUCCAAGGCCAAUACUACAUCUAGAGAUGGCAACGUUGUAGGUGCUUACAAUAACCUGUAGGCGCCAAUUAUGUUUAUUAUUGUUAUAUUUGGAGAAUUUGAGUAUAACGUCUUAGUAUAUAUAUAGUACUAUAGAUUGCUCUGAAAAUGAUUUUCAAAGCAGGUUUAUAUAGCAUCUAGGCCUAUGUAGAAAAAUGUUGUUCCUUUCUUGUGCCAUUGUCUAUAGAGUUAAUUUAUAAUAUACGAAAUAUUACUUUGCUACACUAUAAUAUUAGUCCAGUCAAAUCACUAUAAGUACAUGGUCCUGAUCAAAGUAAUCGCAAUAGAUUUUUUUUUCAGUGGUAAAGUGUGAGAAAAGUUGUUCUGAUUAACAUACUAAAAAUAAAAAAAAAUCCCUUCGGUGGAACAUGGUGAAAAUCGAGUUUUUCUUACUUCUACCUAUGGAAAACCAUUGUGGACAGAAUGUUGAAAUUUUGAAAUCAUUUCUAGGCAAAUGUAACCUACAUUAUUGGAAAGCUUAGAAAAAACUAAAAUAUAGAUCAUUCAGAAACGGCUAUCUUGCUUUUGCCUAUCCAGCCGAAGUUAUACAAGAUUUAAAAUGCCAAAAAUUUGUAUUUUGUGCAAAUUUUGCGCUAUUUUUCCAACUUUGAGCUAGAAUAACGACAAACUGACCAGUAAAUUGAAUAUAACCGUUUAAUGAUCUAUAUUUUAGUUUUUUCUAAGCUUUCCAAUAGUGUAGGUUACAUUUGCCUAAAAAUGAUUUCAAAAUUUGAACAUUCUGUCCACAAUGGUUUUCUAUAGGUAAAAGGAAAAAAACCUCGAUUUUCACCAUGUUCCACCGAAGGGAUUUUUUGGGAUUUUUAGUAUGUUAAUCAGGACACCUUCCCUCACAUUUUAGCACUGAAAAAUAUUCUAUUGCAAUUUCUUUGACCUCUGGUCACAGAUUGACUGGACUAUAUGGAGAAAAUAUAAAAAUACCAUUAAUGUAUAUUUGACCAAUUCUAAUGGCAAACCUAGCAUAUAUGAAAGGACGUGAAUUCACUGAUAUAUGUAGCCUUAUAAGCUUUGCGGAAUAAAAACGCGGUAUUUUAAUACCACAAAAACAAAUCAAUUAAAUAAGGAACUAUAUAUAUCAUUUAUCACCAUGCAAACCUCAAUACAAGGAAAAAUCUUUACUGAGAUCUAAUUGCUUAUUAAAAAAAUUUGCUGACCUAGGUUCUAUAUAGACGUCAAUUAAGAAUUUUGACUACGACCAACGCAAACAUAGCUAUCCCAAAUUUCCGCAUGUGAACAAUACACGGCAUAACUGAAAGCUUUAUCUCUAUUUUAUCCGCACUUUCAAACUUCCUUUUCAAAGCAAUUAUCCGAUCAUAUCUUGCCUUUGUGGUUUUAAUGUUUACAGGGAGUACAAUGGUCUAACACGAUCGAAGGUAAACACUGAACCCGACUCUAUUUGAUUUGGCGUGCUUUUGGUUAAUGAGGGAUCUGUUUCCAUUCAUUUUAAGGAAAUAAACAUUUUAUUUCAAAGCUUGAAAGUGCGUCAAUACGACUGAAUAAUUUUUCAGUCAAACCGAUUUGUGACUAAUUGUUUGCCAGCAGAGACGACAUGGCUGAAAUGGGCUGGUCACUCCGUUUAGUAUAAAACUAUAGAGAAUGGAUGAUAAAUGAUAUGUUUAUAGCCAAACUAAAGGCAGUCAUUUGUAUAUAAGCACAACAAAAUUAUAAAUAUUGCCAUGAGCAAGGGAGUGUUUAUAAUAAAAUGGAUGUUAUUUGUCCAUAACGGGAACAAAUGCAGUAUUGUGCCAAAGCUACAUAAUUAUUAGAAGCAUACCAUAGGUUUACAUCAUGGCAUGCAAUUAUUUAAAAAAAUGAGGAGUGGCCCUAUUAUAUAUAGAUUUGUAUAUAUAGACUAUAGUAUGCAGUGACCAAAAAAUUUAAUCAAGAUUAAGAUCUGGACUUUCCACACUCAAUCCAUCAGAGCAAAAGUGAAUCAAACAAUGAAACCUUGACCUUGUCGUAUACUAGUAUACAGUCAUGCAAACUAAAGCGGGCAUGCAAACGAUCCGAGGCAGAGGCCAGAGUACAUGUUCGAAACACACUAUUUAACUUCAUAUAUUCUAUCAAAUCUAAAAUAAAAGUAUCGCUAAAUAUUAUGUAAAUCAACGUUCUAGUUCCUUCUUCCUUCGAACUUUUUGCGAUCACUAUAUAUUAGCAAUAUGACGCACAAUUACUAUUACAGUAUUAGAUUUGCAUGCUUCAACUGAGAUAAAUAGCUAUAUGCAAUAUAGUAUAUACUUUCUCAUCUUACCUUGGGCUUGGGUCAGGACAAACUAUGCCGGCUAUGGGAAAUUUAAUCAUAUACAUGUUGGUGCUAUAUGAAACUCAAUUCAGUUGAUGAGCAAAAAAAUACAUAACUCAUAAGGCAAAAUUUAAGAGAAAAUUGAAAUAGAAUGAUAUUGAUUCAAUGAUUCAUAUAUUGAAAACUAAAUUAUAAAUUUUAAAUUUAAGGGAAUCUUCGCGGAUUGAUAUACCUUAAAAAUGGAAGGAGAACUUCGACGUUUCGAGCGAAUUGGCCUUCCUUCGAGAAGUAAGGCCAUUUUAGUUGGCCAUUCAUG